rnacentral:lncRNA from 1 species
UCAUACUCAAUAGUUGAAACCUAUGAAACCGCAUAACCAAACACAAUCGUAAACAACUAAGACUAACUCGAUAAACACAACAACUUCGACAAUAAACGUUAUAUUAUAAACAAUGAAUAUCAUCUACAACAAGUAACAAUAUAAAUUAUAAACUUACAGAGUUACACAGAAAUAGUUCUUCUGGUAACAAUCAUCGUCAUUUUCGAUCCGACAACCGUCACAUUCCCCACCCGUACCACCUCCGACCGCCCAAACAACCUCAAAACCUCCCUCACACCACUCUCCCCACACUCUUCAACACACACAACCACCACACCACCAACCCUCACAACCCUCUCCAACUCCCUAACAUACCGAGCCGGAAACAACGCCUGAUCCAAAUUCACACUAAACCCUAAGUCGAAAACCGUAUCGAAAAACGGCAGAUUAUGCGGAUCACCACGGCUAACCAACGGAGGCGAAUCAACCAAUUCCACACCAACAACAUCCACCAAUCCGAUCUGUUUCAACGCCAUAACCGCCUGGCCACCACCUGCGGACAGAAUUAACGUUUGUGUGUGGUUAUUGAUAAGUUUUAGGGUUUGGAGGUGGGUGAAGAGUGUGGAGAAUGAAUUGACGUGUUUGGUCCAGGUGUUGGUGGACCAGAGGCGGUGGUUUUUGGUUCCGACGGUGGUGGUGCGGCGGUGGGCGGCGGAGCAGGAGGAUUUGGGGUGGUUAGGGUUAGGGUUGAUGCAGGUUUCCGGCAGUGGUUGGAAGAAGAAUACCAGGAUUAAUGUGAGUGUGGCGAUGGUGAUAGAGAGGUAGGAGAUUUUGUGUAAGAAGAUUUGAAUGUGUUUCUCCAUUGUUGUUAAGGUUAUGGUUUGUUGUUCAUGAUGUAGUGAAACUGAAGAAGAGGAAGAAGAAGAUUGUGACCUCUGGUUG